AGGGAGGAGGGAACUCACACAGUAAGCGAGAGAUGGAGAGAUCCAAAGAAUGCUGACUGGUUACAAACAGGCUGAAGAGCCAUCAAGUUAAGAUCCUUUCCAGAGAACUAUCAAUGACUGAGCUGGAAAUAGAAGCCAUUUCCCUGAGUUUCUGUUCAUGUACACUGUCCUCUAGUUUAGCCCAUCCUGAGGUGAAUCAUGACCAACUCAUCAAGCUUGCCCUUCUACAUUACAGGAUACUUCAGAGGGACUUGACAUGGGACAGUGGACAUGUACAUCUGUAUGAUCCCAGGACAACAGGCUUUCUACCAGGACAAGUGCAACAGCUGUUUACAGG